rnacentral:snoRNA from 1 species
CUGCUACUAAGGUUUCCUUAACAAGCAAAAAAGGAUUCUCAGGCUUUCCAUCUGUCUCAUUGUGGCAGUAAUGAUUGAGUAGAGGAAUAUAGGA